UUUGUUUGAGAUAGGGUCUCAUUAUGUAGGUUUGGCUGGCUUGGAACUCACGUUGUAGACCAGGCUGGCCUCAAACUCAGAGAGAUCUGCCUGCCUCUGCCUUCCAGAGUGUCAGGAUUAAAGGUGUGAGCCACCACACCUGGCUUUGAUUUGGUUUCUUGAGGAAAGUUCUCACUAUGUAGACUUGGCUGGCCUGGAACUUGCUGUAUAGCAGACUGGCCUCAAACUCAUAGAGAUCUACCUCUCUGCCUCCUGAUUGCUAGGAUUAAAACCAUGUAACAUCACACCCAGCCCAUGUGUUAAUACAUAUUGUUAUAUCCUAUUAUCCAGUUUAAUCUUCAGCAAACCUUCAAAGUAACUGCACUCUCUGUGACAUAGGUACAGAAACUGUGGGCCACAGAGAGCAGCUUACCAAAGAUUAAUAGCAGAGCUCAAAUGUGCACCUAUGUCUGUGACUGCAAAGCUCCUUCUUCCAUGACAAUUCAAACAAUAGACUCUGUUCUGAGGAGGGAAAUGAGUAGAAGCCACAUUUGGUGUGUUCCACCUGGAUACUAAAGAAUCAAUACAGGUAGAGCAAAGGGCCAAGCAGUGCUGACAAGAGGUGUACAGGUGUAGAGUACACCCUGAGGCCCAGGCUGACAAGAGGUGUACAGGUGUAGAGUACACCCUGAGGCCCAGGCUGACAAGAGGUGUACAGGUGUAGAGUACACCCUGAGGCCCAGGCUGACAAGAGGUGUACAGGUGUAGAGUACACCCUGAGGCCCAGGCUGACAAGAGGUGUACAGGUGUAGAGUACACCCUGAGGCCCAGGCUGACAAGAGGUGUACAGGUGUAGAGUACACCCUGAGAUCCGAGCUCCAAGAAGAGAAUGGCAGCCCUCGUGUCCAGAGAUGAUGAAACCUGAAGGACUAAGCCAAAGAAAUAGGUGUUAAAUAAUGAG